CCUCCCUCCUUUCUUCCCUUCCCUCCAACCCCAAUCUCUCAAAAAACUUGAGAUAAGGAAAUUGAUUUUAAAAAAAAUCACCAUUAUCUUGAAAUAGGAAUAAGACAAGAUAUCUCUAUCAACAAUAUAUUUUAAAACAUUUUUGGAACUUCUGGCCAAUUUAAACUUUCAUAAAGUGAGAGUUGACGAAAGGCACCUUGGCUAUUGAAAAGAAAAAGAAGCGUCAGUGGCUUUAGAUCCUAUCUAGAACACAUAGCUGGAAAAUAAGAAUUGGAAUGUGUGACAGAUAUUGUAUGGCAGCCAAUGCUUGGGGCCCCGUAUGGCUCAGCUUCACCACAGAGCGGUGCUGAGAGGGAUGUGUGACUCCAGAAUCCUCGAUGUGGAUGGUCUUAAGAUAGCUUGUCAUGGCCAGAGCAUCCACUCAACCCUCCCACACAUGAAGCGGCCAAGAAUUUCUGCCUGGACGGUUUCCUCUUCACAAAGUCACGUGCUCGCAGGGGCUCCGCUGCACGUGUCUGCUCUGUUGCUAUGGUUCUGCAUCGCUGAUGUCUGGUCUCUCACAUGUACCCUGAGGACUAACUGCUCUGCGUCGGGCACCCCUGUGACUCCUGCAGUGAGGAAGGACCAGGUUCAUGAGACCAUAGCCUGGCUUUCUCUUGGCUGAUUUUGUUAUUAAUAAUCUCUUUUCUCCUCUUCCUCCUCCUUCUCUCAUUCUUUUUCUCUUCUUCUUCUUACCUGUUUACUUUCUUUUUUCUUUCCUUCCCUCUCCUCUCUUCUUCUUUCCAGGGUCUUGUGGUAGCCCAGGCUAACCCUGACAUUCUGUUACUGCUGGGGUAACAUACACUGCCAUGCCUAGUUUUAUGGGGGAGAUUGAGCCCAGAGCUUAGUAUGUGCUAGGCAAACACUUUACCAUUCAAACUAUGUCCCCAGCACCUUAUGACUAAUCAUUAGGGACAUUAGCAAAUAUCCCCCCUUACGAAGUUAGUGUGUAAAAACUGAGAAUUUUCCUACAUACCCACACCAAUCAGACUGGAGAUAAAAGCAAGGAAAACUGGGACCCACCCCCAGGGGACUCUUGUCUCUCAUGAGGACUGUAUGGGACUUUCACGAAGAAAACCACAAAACUGCAUCAUUUUGUAUAAAAAACGGUUUGAAUACAUGCAGAGGCACAACAUGCUCUUAGCUGGGGGGAAAGGACUCUGAAUUAAUAUGGAGAUCUAGAAAAGGAAUCAAAUUAAAUAUCAAUGGAAACUUUUGGUCACUCAACAAACAACUCUCUAAUGUGUAUCUGCAAGAGAAACAGGCUAAAAAUAGUCAAGAGAUUUCUGAAAGAGCAUGGAGAUAGGGGUUCCUCUAACAGACAUUACAGUGUAUUUUACAGCUACAAAACUCAUGGUUGGAGCUCAAGAUGCAAGAAGCAUUAGGAGUUGAUGAGAUAUCACUGGGUUUAAAAGCCUAGUCUUCCUCAGGCUGAGAACCUAACACAGAUAAAGAGGAAGAUUUCACAUCAAGAGGAAGGGCUGGAUUAAACGGUGCUGAGAUUUUGACUACUUGUGAGAUUAUUGGCACAGAUCCUUGUCUCUAAUUCCAGACAGACUUCAGCAUCAAGCACAAGGAAUCCAUUAGCAAUAGCUAAAAACAGCAGGCGGCGAAGUGAUCUUAGACAUCCCGGGGCACAGGUAAAAUUCAACAUCGUCCAUUCUGCCGCUGGAUUUGACUUGAGCCUACAGAACAUACAGACUGGAUCCAACAUCUUUCUGGGAGCUUCUCCAGAGGAAAAUCCCUCGGCUGCUGCCACUGUCUUCUCAAGAGGCUGGGCAUGUCUGCAGACUCUCUGCACACUUCUUGCCAGAAAUUCAGCUCCAGAUGGGCGAGGGGACUUCCUCGGGUCUUCUGGAGUGUGUGACCUCUCACAAUGGGCAAGGGGAGUUCCUUGGGUCUUCUAAGUGUGUGACCUCUCACAAUGAGCGAGGGGACUUCCUCGGGUCUUCUGGAGUGUGUGAUCUCUCCCAGUGGGUGUGGGGAGUUCCUUGGGUCUUCUGAGUGUGUGGCCUCACAAGGGUGCUGGGAUCGGGAGGCACAUUAUAAUAGAAUCACACUUGGACCCUGGAGGCUGGAGAAGACGGCUCAGUGGAUUAGAGUUCUUGCUGUGCAAUCAUCAGGACCGGGUUUGAGUCCCCAGUUCCCAUGUGAAUAAAGAAGGUGGGCGUGUUA